rnacentral:rRNA from 1 species
AACGAACGCUGGCGGCAGGCCUAAUACAUGCAAGUCGAACGGAUGUAGCAAUACAUUAGUGGCGCACGGGUGCCUAACGCGUGGGAACAUACCCUUGAGUAAGGAAUAAUGUCUGGAAACGGACACUAAUACCUUAUAAUGACUUCGGUCCAAAGAUUUAUCGCUCAAGGAUUGGCCCGCGUCUGAUUAGCUAGUUGGUGAGGUAACGGCUCACCAAGGCGACGAUCAGUAGCUGGUCUGAGAGGAUGAUCAGCCACACUGGGACUGAGACACGGCCCAGACUCCUACGGGAGGCGGCAGUAAGGAAUAUUGGACAAUGGAGGAAACUCUGAUCCAGCCAUGCCGCGUGAGUGAAGAAGGCCUUAGGGUUGUAAAGCUCUUUCAAUGGCGAAGAUAAUGACGGUAGCCAUAGAAGAAGCCCCGGCUAAAUUCGUGCCAGCCGCCGCGGUAA